UCGUCCAGCCCGCGAUUGCGUCCUCGGCAUCACCAACCGCGAUCCCCUUCUCCCCUACCUCUCUCCUCUCCACUCCCUGCAGGAUCGUCUUCGACCUUCCAUCCUCCUUCUCCCUCGCUCACGGCUCCCCGCGGCUUUGAACGUUCGUUCGCUACCUUCCCACCUCUCCCUUACAUGCCCGCACACCGGAUCCACCGCCCCUCCCCUACGAUGGCUUGGUUCCGCUGAACAAUUCUCUUCCCCCCGAUGGCUACACCCAAGACCCCCAUCCCACUCCAGUCCUCUACUCUUCCUUCCAUCCACGCCAGCGAUUCGGGGUCAUGUGGGGCUAGGGUUUGGAUUCGUGGGUGGAGCCCAAAGCUAGAUCCAACUAGGGGGAGGGAGGUAGAGGAGGAGGGGAGGGAAGGGGGUGGCCCCAGUCGGCACGGUUGGCCGCCACCGCCGCGACAUCGAACGACGGUGGUACCGUCGGCGGCGGGUGGAGGCACCAAUGACAAUCCAGGAUAUGGAUUCCUGAGGGCCAACAGAUCAAAGAGCUAUCUUAAAAGGACAUUAGGUUGGCAUAAGUAUCCCCAUGGAAUAUGGGGUGAUUCUCGAAACCCAUCAUGUGGAGCAUUUACUGAUCACCAGGAGUGGCAUGUGUUCCCACACGAAUUUGGUACUAAAACCUUCAAUUAGAAACAUGCUUAAAGCUCCAAGUGCUAGCCGGUGAUUCACAAACAUCGAACGAUGAUAAGAAAGUUAAAGAUCGUCGCAAGGUCGGCACAUACCAGCAAAAUAGUUUUGUUUGCCGAGUCAGGGUUGUCGUUCUGUAGUAUUUUUCAUUUCCAAGUAUUGGCAGAAGAAGAAAAGGGAGGAUCAACAUGCACGUCUACUAAAGCUAUUUGUAAAUCACUUGAAGCAUUAGCUUAUUUGUGAAUGCUUUUGUGAAGUGUUUGCAAAUAUGUGAAAAACAUAAUGAGAUGUGUGAUAAACAUUGUUAUCUAGCUAUUUUGCUUUC